CCAAUAGCGUAUAUUAAAGUUGUUGCAGUUAAAAAGCUCGUAGUUGAAUUUCGGGAUCAAUAUGUCGGUCGUGCCUUGGUACGUACUGGUAUCAUUGGUUUCUCCUUUCUGACGAACCAUGAUGUCAUUAAUUUGGUGUUAUGGGAAGUUAGGACUGUUACUUUGAAAAAAUUAGAGUGUUUAAAGCAGGCUUUAGCUUGAAUACAUUAG
rnacentral:rRNA from 1 species